rnacentral:rRNA from 1 species
CAGACGACUCUUGGCAACGGAUAUCUCGGCUCUCGCAUCGAUGAAGAACGUAGCAAAAUGCGAUACCUGGUGUGAAUUGCAGAAUCCCGUGAACCAUCGAGUCUUUGAACGCAAGUUGCGCCCGAGGCCUUCUGGCCGAGGGCAUGCCUGCCUGGGCGUCUUGC